ensembl:miRNA MIR378C microRNA 378c
GGAGGCCAUCACUGGACUUGGAGUCAGAAGAGUGGAGUCGGGUCAGACUUCAACUCUGACUUUGAAGGUGGUGAGUGCCUC